rnacentral:rRNA from 1 species
GACGAACGCUGGCGGCGGGCCUAAUACAUGCAAGUUGAGCGCUGAAGGUUGGUACUUGUACCAACUGGAUGAGCAGCGAACGGGUGGGUAACGCGUGGGGAAGCUUCCUUUGAUCGGGGGGCAACAUUUGGAAGCGAAUGCUAAUACCGCAUAAAAACUUUAAACACAGGUUGUAAGUUUUAAAGAUGCAAUUGCAUCACUCAAAGAUGAUCCCGCGUUGUAUUAGCUAGUUGGUGAGGGAAAGGCUCACCAAGGCGAAGAUACAUAGCCGACCUGAGAGGGUGAAUGGCCAAGUCGGGACUGAGACCCGGCCCCAACCCCCACGGGAGGCCGCAGUAGGGAAUCUUCGGACAAGGACGACAGUCUGAAUCCGCCACGACGCGGGAGUGAAGAAGGUCUUCGGAUCGUAAAACUCUGUUUGUAGAGAAGAAAGUUGGUGAGAGUAGAAAGCCCAUCAAGUGACGGUACCUAAACAGAAAGGGCCGGCUAACUACGUG